rnacentral:tRNA from 2 species
GGGCUCAUAGCGUAAUGGCUAUCGCGCUUCUAUGGCAUAGAAGAGAUUAGGGGUCCGAUUCCCCUUGAGUCCACCA